UUGGAGUUAUUGGCCUGUGAACAGCUG
rnacentral:piRNA from 1 species